CCGGCCGAUCGGCCCUUCCUUGUGCUACCUGUGUUCUUCCCUGUGUGCAGGAGAGAGAGGGAGAAAGAAAGGGAGACACAGAGACGGAAACACAGAGGAAGACCCAGGUCUCCUCCCGCCCCUUGCUCCUCGACGCGGCCAUUCCACAGCCCGCGCCCUCCUGACGCGUCCCUCACGGAGGGCCUCUGGGGCGUUUCGUUGGCAUCGCUGUGGACGCUGGGCCCACCUUCCUCGGCUGGGGAUGGAGGACGGCACCCCGGGCAGUGAGAGGCCCUCUUGCCUUUGCGGAGCCUGAGGACCGACUCGCCGUGCUGGCCGCCUCUGUUCCUCUCUGCCAGGCUUUGGAGAUGCCAGCCUAGCCGACAAAAGCGCUCCCGUUUCCAGAGAAACAUAACAGGUCACCCAGAACCACACCAAACAUUUAGGACACUUGGCAUCAAACCAAGGGUUUCUCUCGGAUCCUGGGAGACUCAGAGGCCAAGAGGUUAGGAGGGUCUGGGGGCCUGGCCAAGUGCGCGGAAGCCUGAUGGCGCAUGCUUCUUGGAAAGUUCCACCCUCACGUGCCCUUCUGACAUUAACCCAGGCCCCAGGUCUGGGAGAAGAAUGGCCGCGUGGCCUUGUGGCCAGCAAAAGCAGGACCAAGUCCUCCUGCCGCAGGGCACCCCAGCAUCUGCUCCCUUUGCGUGUAGGAAGAGACAGACGUGUGCUGGAGGUUCUCACCCCAAAGCACGGGGACCAGCAGAGCCUCGGCUAUGGCAGCUGCAGGGAGACUCAGGAGUGAGGGGCUCCCUCCUGCAGGAUAGUGUGUCGGCCGCUGUGGUGUUAACUCUAUCUGCAGAAGAGACGCUCACGGGCCAUCCUCUCACUUCGACUUUCUCACUUCCAACUUUGAGGCCGUGGGAGCUGCACCCUCUCCUCGUGCUCAGCCUCUCAGUGAGCCACUCCCUUCUUAGGACUCUGUAGACUGUCCAUCUUAUUCUUUUCCCAGCGAUCAUUGUCAUCCAGCACCUUCCUUCCUCUACCUGAUGAUGAGAUACCUCGUGCCCGUCCAAAUGCAACAUACCGGUUCCUAAAACCUGGAGUUGGUUUACUAAAACCCCUGUAUCCAGCACAGAACUUCGUGGUUCCUGGAUGAUCCUGUGACAGGAUGUAAAUGAUGUUAAAGACACUCUGUCCCAAGCACCCAUGAGCCGGCGUUACCAGAAUUUAUGAAAACCCCUCACGAGGACACAUCAGGCGACUCAUCGGGCAACUAAUGAACUUACACGUCUACAAAACGGUAUUGACGGAGAAACGUUCAAGGGCGGCCAAAGGCACAGCUGACUCGUGCUUUGUCCAAAAUUCAGCCCAGAAGAGACAAUUCAGACAGUCCCAGGCCAUUCUGACCUGCCAAGUGGACCCUCUGAGGUUUGGCAAAUGGACUUCAUCCAGCCACUGCCUCUCGGGGCCAUAAAUACGUCGUGAUGAUCUGCAUGUUUUCCUACUGGGUAGAAGCAUUCCCCUUCGGACGUGCCACCGCCUCAGACGCUGCAACCUCUGUUAGAACAGAUUCUCCCUAGGGGCAGGAGCAUAUCUUCACAGGUAGUGACCAAGGCUCCCCUGGCCAGGUCAGAAAUCUGUGAAGUCUGGUCCACGUGACAGCAGUUUCGUUGUGCCCACCACCCCAAUCUUGCAACUGCUGGAAAGCGCAGGCAGCACCAUCAAGAUUCAACUGGCAGAAUUUCAGGAAGCACUAAAAUGGCCCAGGCUGAAGGCACUGGCUGUGGAUCUCCACCUUUUGGAAAACGCAAGUUGUCACCUUUUGAAAUUAUCCCCGGGGUGGCGGGGCCAGACAAUGCAUAUCAUCCUUUCUGCUUUUAAUAGUCAACUGAUUAAAGGAGACAUUCUCCAAUACUGCAAAGGAAUAAUUAGGACUAUACACAUAAGUCAUGCCCUGUGCUCCCAGGAGAUGGAGUCACCAGAUGUCACAACCUUCAGCCUGAUAAUUUCAUUGGAAAAGACAUUUACAAAAAGAUUUCCUUCAACCUCUGGAAAAGUCCACGUUGGGAACUCCUCACCAAUCCCUGGUGUUGACCCUUGGAUUCAGGUUUCUCAUUUAAAGAAAUCUACCUGCUGCUGGAAUUCAAUCAGACUUGAAAUGAGAACUGGCCCGAAGGGGAAGCAGGUGGCAGAGGAGGUUGACUGAGGUCAUGUCUGCCACGAGGGAUGUGACUCCCUGGGACAAGUCCAUCCCAGCAACAAUGGACAGCAUCAGAUUUACUGAUUGAUCUAUGACACUUUUUGGAGGAAGGACUCGAUCAAAACGGGGACAUGUGAAAGAAAAUGAAACCAGUAAGUCUAAGGCUUUUCUAAAGUGGAGCUGGGCAGCCGUGGGAUCUGCACUCAAUCUGCCAACCGCCAGUCCACAGGACGUGCUCACACACUUGGACAAACAGCUGAGGCCAGCACCAAUGGCCUUCACAUCCCCCAGCUGGGAGUGCCCAGAAGAACUAGCCAGUCAGAAUGGGUUUGACUUAGGAUUUCUGCCCAACCAAUGAACAGCCUCCAAAAAGCCUCUGUGGAAAUCCCCUAUACAAAUCUCUCCAGGCCGCGUGUAGUGGCUCACACCUGAAAUCCCAGCACUUUGGGAGGCCAAGGUGAGUGGAUCACUCGAGGCCAGCAGUUCAAGACCAGGUUGGCCAACAUGGUGAAACCCCGUCUCUACUAAAAAUACAAAAAUUAGCCAGGCAUGGUGCCAUGUGCCUGUAAUCCCAGCUACUCAGGAAGCCGAGGCAGGAGAAUCGCUUGAACCCACAAGGUGGAGGUUGCAAUGAGCCAAGAUCUCACCACUGCACUCCAGCCUGGGCAACAGAGACUCCAUCUCAAAAAAAAAAAAACAAACAAAAAAAAAAACCCCAAAAACCUCUCCAGUGUUUGCCUUACAGGACACUGCCCAGGGCUACCCUGACUCAGUGUACCCAAACUGCAACCCUUUGUUUCCCAAAUAAAUGCUUUAGUUAAUGGUAUUAAAAAUGAACACUGAAAAAGCAGAUUCAAAACAUUCAAAUGGAACUCAAUGUGUUAGUAUAAUCACAGCUGCUUACUGAAAACAAACACUUAAAAUUGCUCAACCCAGGAGGUUGUGCAGAAAACAGGUGACGGGUGAGCCACUGGGCCCAGCCCACCGUACAGCGGCCCUCUGUCCUUGUGUGCCCUCACACACAGCGAACACCUGGUCGUGCCUGUGCAAGCUGGCCGGUGUUGCCUGACUGCACCGGAGUGAAACGGCCAGGCUGCUGCUGCCCACACACAUUUAAAAUGAAACGUGUAUCAAGGGAGCACGGUUGGGCUGUUUUUAAACACUCUGGAACCAUGGCUCGGAGCUGGCAGAGCAGGCUGUGGCCGUGACGUCAGCACAACCAGCAGUGCUCAGGACACGAGAUUGACAUCCAUUCCAAGCUGCAAAUUCAUCUUUUUUUUCCUGCAACAAAAAGACCAUUAGCUUAAAAAACGGAGUGGGUUCCAUCAUCCCUACAGCAGCUAAAACCCCUCGGAGUCCACCUGGACUCCCAGCCCCAACUUCCUGUCCACACCCAGCAACUCCUUCCAGAAAAUACUGCUGGCACUCUGGGCCUCUUGUUAAAUUAAAUUUGGCCUAAAGCUGCCCCAUUCUUUGAAUUUCUACCUAGUGAACUGCAACCUAAGCAUGCAAACAAACUCAACCUAAUGAGUCUUCGUGUAACAAGUAGCUGAGUCUCAGCCAAUCGCAAGCUGCCAGUGGAACAGACCACACCCACAUGUGGCAGGUGAUCAGCUUUAGCCAAUCAGGCUGUUCGUUGCCUCACCACCAUGUUUUGUCUGUGAGUGCUGCCUGCCCAUGUUGCUGAGUGGAGCUCACUGAAUCUCUUCAGGUUCCGAGUGCUGCCCAAUUCAUGAACUGUUCUUUGUUCAAAUAAACCCUAAAGUUUAAAAAAAAAAAUUGGUUUGAGACAGAGUCUCACACUGUUGCCCAGGCUGGAAUACAGUGGCACAGUCUCAGCUCAUGGCAGCCUCUGCCUCCCAGGUUCAAGUGAUUGCCCUGCCUCAGUCUCCGGAGCUGGGAUUAGACGUGUACCACCAGGCCCGCUAGGCUCAUUUUUCUAUUUUUUAAGUAGAGAUGAGGUUUCACCAUGUGACUGGGGUGCUCUCAAACUCCUGACCUAAAGUAAUUGACCACCCCUGCUUCCCAAAGUGCUGGGAUUACAGGCGUGAGCCACUUGUGUCCAGACCAAAGUUUUCUUUCCACACUCAUGACCACUGUCUUUGACACACAAGGGCCUCCUCACCAGCCUCUGGCUUCCAGGCUGUUCUCUGCACAGUGGCCACAGCAUGCCCUGCUCAGGACCCACAGUGGACCUCCUGCCCACACACCUCCUGAUGCACCUCUGGCCCAGCAGCUCCAUCUGUCACACCAGCUUCCUUUCGCCUUGGCCGUGUGUGCCCCAGGGCCUCUGCACUCAGUUCCCGGUGUUGCAGGCUACAGCCCCUCCCUUUCCCGAGCCCCUCCCAACCUCCCACCUCCUCCAGGCUGCUUUCUCCACUAUAGUCAUGCAGCAUUUGCCAGUGCCCAGCACACAAUCUUCUCACUGGCUGGUCUUUUCACACCACAAAGGCCAUACUGCCAUCUAUGUGCCUAAAACGCUGGCAGUUUUCAAACAUUUUACAGCUGUGGGAUUCUUUCCCUAAAGAGGCCUCCCGGCAGGUUAAUGGACAGAAGAGGGCUGGCUGCUGUUGGUGAUGAGCCUUGCAGGGCCCCUUGAGCAGACCCCGGCCACACUGGGGACCCAGGGGUUCUGGCAGAAGGAGUGUCCUGACAUAGAUGCCACAGCACUCAGGCCAGCAGGAGUGCACCUAUCCUGCUCCCCCACGCCUAGUCGCCAUCUGUGUUCUGGGAAAUCUGAAAGGAUUCUUUCAUCUUCUGCUGGGUGGCAGGAAAGGAAUCUACACUCCACAGCUACCAACUAUGAUAAAGCAGUUUAUUUUUCUUAAAAAGGAAGGUACAUGGUCACAGUCCAAAAUGUUUUAUACAGCUCUCAGCCUGAAGAAAAUUCAACUGAUGAAAAAGGCACUGUUUCUAGAACAAAUGGAAAAACAAUAAAUACGUCACCACAGAACCCUGCCACAAGUUCAGGGUCAACGUUAAAAGCUUGAGAAGCAGACACAGCAAGGUGAUGUCCUAGACUAGCCAGAGCCGUCUGUCCCUCCUCACUGUCCUCCCUGUCACACACGUCUGUCGCUGUUCCUCAGCCCCCACCAGCCUGAUGGAGGGUCACACAACACCAUGG